rnacentral:rRNA from 1 species
AUGUGAUAUUAGCUAGUUGGUGAGGUAACGGCUCACCAAGGCCAAGAUGUCUAGCGGGUGUGAGAGCACGACCCGCGCCACUGGCACUGAGACACUGGCCAGACACCUACGGGUGGCUGCAGUCGAGGAUCUUCGUCAAUGGACGCAAGUCUGAACGAGCGACGCCGCGUGAGCGAUGAAGGCCUUCGGGUUGUAAAGCUCUUUAGGGGGGAGAAAAACUGAUCUAUCCCCCAAAAUAAGCUCGGGCUAAGUUCGUGCCAGCAGCCGCGGUAAGACGAACCGAGCAAACGUUAUUCGGAAUCACUGGGCUUAAAGGGCGCGUAGGCGGGUCAUCAAGUCUGUGGUGAAAUCCUCCAGCUUAACUGGAGAACUGCCGUGGAUACUGGUGAUCUUGAGGAAUGUAGGGGCAUCUGGAACUGGUGGUGGAGCGGUGAAAUGCGUUGAUAUCAUCAGGAACUCCGGUGGCGAA